GACAUGUUCAUGAGAAUAUAAUUUUUUUGUGCAAUGAAUGUGUCAGACCCUAUUUAAAAUUAGGGCCUAAACUGCAGGUUACGUUUUAACCCCAUAUCCGUUCCGUUCCGCAUUUUAACCCCAUAUCCGUUCCGUUCCGCAUUUUAACCCCAUAUCCGUUCCGCAUUUUAACCCCAUAUCCGUUCCGCAUUUUAACCCCAUCCGUUCCGCAUUUUAACCCCAU